CCUACGGGUGGCAGCAGUGAGGAAUAUUGGUCAAUGGGCGAAAGCCUGAACCAGCCAAGUAGCGUGAGGGACGACUGCCCUAUGGGUUGUAAACCUCUUUUAUAAGGGAAGAAAAGAUGGUACGUGUAGCAUUAUGCCUGUCCUUUAUGAAUAAGGAUCGGCUAACUCCGUGCCAGCAGCCGCGGUAAUACGGAGGAUCCGAGGGUUAUCCGGAUUUAUUGGGUUUAAAGGGGGCGUUGACAGGUUUUUAAGUUAGUUGUUAAAGUUUGGGGCACAACCGUGGAAUUGCAAUUGAUACUGUCAGACUAGAGUGCAGUCGAGGUAGGCGGAAUUCGUUGUGUAGCGGUGAGAUGCUUAGAUAUCACGUAGAACUCCGAUGGCGAAGGCAGCUUACUAGACUGCAACUGACGUUGAUGCUCGAGAGCGUGGGUAGCGAACAGGAUUAGAUACCCCUGUAGUC
rnacentral:rRNA from 1 species